ensembl:lncRNA
AUAUAUAUAUAUUUUAUAAUUUUUUGACCUUGUUUUUUUUGUUUGUUUGUUUUUGUUUUUUUCUUCUUUUCUUUAACAUUGUAUUUUUGAAAUUCCAAACUCUACUCUAGAUUUUUAAUUUUCGCUUUUUGGUUAUCAAUUUUGUACCUAUAGUUUUUUUUUUAUAAUUUCUGUGACUUUUUUUUUUUUUUCUUCUUCUCUGUUUCUUUCUCUUCUUCUUUUAUAUAACAUUGUAUAUCUGAAAUUCCAAACUUUACUCUAGAUUUUUAAUUUAUGCUUUUUGGUAUUUGAUAUCAAUUUUGUACCUGUAUUUUCUUUAUAAUUUUUAUGACAUUGUUCGUAUUUGUUUGUUUGUUUUCUCUCUUUAUUUUUCUUCUUCUUCUUUUUUUUUUUUUUUAACAUUGUAUUUUUGAAAUUCCAAACUCUACUCUAGAUUUUUAAUUUUUGCUUUCUGGUAUUAGUUAUCAAUUUUGUACCUGUACUUUCUUUAUAAUUUUCGCGACCUUGUUUGUUUUUGUUUGUUCGUUUUUUCUCUCUUUCUUUUCCUUCUUCUUUUCUUUAACAUCGUACUUUUGAAAUUCCAAACUCUACUCUAGAUUUUUAAUUUUCGCUUUCUGGUAUUAGUUAUCAAUUUUGUACCUGUACUUUCUUUAUAAUUUUCGCGACCUUGUUUGUUUUUGUUUGUUCGUUCUUUCUCUCUUUCUUUUCCUUCUUCUUUUCUUUAACAUCGUAUUUUUGAAAUUCCAAACUCUACUCUAGAUUUUUAAUUUUUGCUUUUAUUUAUUUGUUACCAAUUUUGUACCUUUAAGGACCCAAUCUUCAGGACCCAUUUUUCACUAGGGAGUGAGAUUACUGGCUUGACUGCUCUCUCUCCCUUUGGACCCUCCUUUUUCUCCACCAGGUCGCCUGUGUCUCCUCCCUAACCCCUCUCUACUCUACCCAACUCUGUGAAUUUCUGUGUGUUCCAGACGGUGGAGAACACUUAGGGAACUGAUUACUGGCUGGAUCUGUCUCCCUCCUUUUCAUUCCCCCCUUUUAUCCUUCUGGCCACCUCUGUUACCUUCCUCCUUCUUCUCUUCUCUGUAUAACACCGUGAACAUCUCUGAGUGGUCCAGUUGUGGAGUGCACAUAAGGAAGUGACUACUGGCUAGCCCACUCUCUCCACUAUUGAUUCACCUCAUCUCAUUUGGGUCACCUCUAACUCCCUCCUCCCUCUUCUCUUCUCCAUGUAACCCUGUGAACCUCUCUGAGUGACCCUCACUGUAGAGAAACUUAUCAUCUUUAAUGUAGAUGUUUUAUCAAUGGUGCUGUAUAGAAGGAGAAGUUUUGAAACUACUGUAAAAAUAAGACCGAUAAUCGGAAGCAGGAGACUUAAGUCCAAACCCUGACUCCAGGGAACUCCUGACUCCAAGGAACAUUCAUUCACAGGAGCUCAUCAAAUGCCUCCAUACCG